GUCGGUAUCGAUUAGGGGUUAAAUCACCUCGUUGUGGUGUAUUGUAUCCUGUAGCCGUAACGUUACUCCGAGGAGCCACUGGUUCGAUUCCAGUUACCGACA